UGUUCUCAGAAACAAAAAUGAAAGUCGACAUGAAAACUCUCUCCCCCCUUUCUCCUUUCUCCCUUCUCUUUUACCAGCAACUAUGGUCUUACGUAUAUGUUCAUUUGCUCCGAUUAAAACCCUAGCUUUCUCUUUGCCGCAGUCCCCUUUUUCUGUGUGUGGCGCCUUUCUAUUAGGUCCGAAACCCUAAUCUCUGAUCGCUCUCUCUCUCUCUCUCUCUUAAUCUCUCUCUCUCUCUCUCUCUCUCUCUCUAUGGUUAUUGUUUUCUUCUGCUCCAUAAUUUUGUGAGUGUUACUCCACAAUCGCUUGAUUUCCUGGAUCAGAGUUUCAAAUCCAUGUUAUUUUUCGACCUUUGAGGUUGGCUUAGGGUGGAGUGGCGGAUCUGUUGUAGUGUUCUCUGACGACGACAACGGUUUGGAACUACGAGGCAUCGAAGGCGUUCGAUGGGGCAGGGGAGAGGCCCUGAGCCUAGAGCAUUGGUGCUCGCAGAUAAUCAACCAGAUGGAAAAACUGAUUGGAGAAGUUGAGAAGAUUUGCUGGCCUCAAGGAUACCCAUUUUUUCACGGCAGUCAGUGGUGAAUAACUUCCUCACAUUCAACACUUCAAACAUAAAUUUGCAUGCAUUGGAUGUAUAGGAUUCGAAAGCACAAGUUAGUGCAAUUCAUUUGAUAAUUGAGGCUCUCCAGAGGAUGCAUUUAUUUGGUGUUGAGAACAGAGAUUUUUAACUCACAAUGCCACAGGGAAGCCAGACAAGUUGGUUUACAUUGCCACCUAUGAUAUUCUUUAGAGAUUUCAAAACCUCGGCGUAAUACUCUGAAAAUUGAUGACAAUAUGGCCUUUCUUGAUUACAGAAACAAUACAAGGUUCAAAAGGAUGAUCUGCUUAAUUUUUCGUGUCAGAUCAGGAGAACGCCAAUUGAGGAACUUUGCCUUCAGUCUAUGAUAGGUCACUGCUCAGGUGCUUUUGGGGGAUUUGGAAGCUAAUGCUAGAGUGUAAUCCAUACAAACAGGCUGGCUCCAUCAUUCCCCAAACCAAUUUGUAGGUUUCUAUGUUUGGUGGUUUUUGUUUUUGGGGUUUGGAAGCAAUUCACAAAUCUUGGAGAAUAUCACUUGCAGUCUUGACUAUGAUCUAUGAAUUGCAGAUGUGAUCUGUGUUUAUGUGGCUUGUUUAUGUAGUCAUCCAUGGAGGAGAAAUGGAAGUUGCAGAUAUCAUGCCUAGAAUUAAGGCUGUUAAUUUUUUUUCUUUCACAAAAGUGAUUUGAUAACAAUUAUACAGUUUGUAUAUUAAUUUUUUUUUUAAAUUUGAAAUAUUGCAGUCA